UACAGAGGGUGCAAGCGUUAAUCGGAAUUACUGGGCGUAAAGCGUGCGUAGACGGUUAUGUAAGUCAGAUGUGAAAGCCCAGGGCUCAACCUUGGAAUUGCAUUUGAGACUGCAUAGCUAGGGUGCGGAAGAGGGAAGCGGAAUUUCCGGUGUAGCGGUGAAAUGCGUAGAUAUCUGGAGGAACACCGGUGGCGAAGGCGGCAUCCUGGACCGGCAUUGACGCUGAGGCGCGAAAGCCAGGGGAGCAAACGGG
rnacentral:rRNA from 1 species